AUGUUAACGAUGUCAACGAUGUAAACAAUAUAUAAGAGUUCAAACAAUGUCAACGAUGUUCACACGACAUCGUGUUAACCUUGUAAACACAACGAUGUAAACAAUAUAUAAAAGUUCAAACAAUGUCAACAAUGUUGACACGACAUCGUGUUUACAUUGUAUACAUCGCAAUGUUAACGAUGUCAACGAUGAAAACAAUAUAUAAGGGAUCAAACAAUGUAAACGAUGUUGACACGACAUCGUGUUAACAUUGUAAACAUAAUGAUGUUAACGAUGUCAACGAUGUAAACAAUACAUAAAAGUUCAAACAAUGUCAACAAUGUUGACACGACAUCGUGUUUACAUUGUAUACAUCGCAAUGUCAACGAUGUAAACAAUAUAUAAGGGAUCAAACAAUGUAAACGAUGUUGACACGACAU
rnacentral:lncRNA from 1 species